rnacentral:rRNA from 1 species
GACGAACGCUGGCGGCGUGCUUAACACAUGCAAGUCGAACGGAAAGGCCUCUUUCGGGGGGUACUCGAGUGGCGAACGGGUGAGUAACACGUGAGUAACCUGCCCUUGACUUUGGGAUAACUUCAGGAAACUGGGGCUAAUACCGGAUAGGAGCUCCUGCUGCAUGGUGGGGGUUGGAAAGUUUCGGCGGUUGGGGAUGGACUCGCGGCUUAUCAGCUUGUUGGUGGGGUAGUGGCUUACCAAGGCUUUGACGGGUAGCCGGCCUGAGAGGGUGACCGGCCACAUUGGGACUGAGAUACGGCCCAGACUCCUACGGGAGGCAGCAGUGGGGAAUAUUGCAAAAUGGGUGGAAGCCUGAUGCAGCAACGCCGGGUGCGGGAGGACGGCCUUCGGGUUGUAAACCGCUUUCGCUCAUGACGAAGCUUUGUGUGACGGUAGUGGGUAAAGAAGCACCGGCUAACUACGUG